AUCACUCGUUGCUCAGUGUUGCACCUGCCGGAUCGUUCGAAACUUUAACUUCGUUCCCUUUCGUCGUUAAUCUACGUCUUCCUUGAUCUUCUAUUCCUUAGUGUUCGUCUUUGGUGUUUCUUUUCAAGAUUGUCUUUCAUUGCUAAAGAGCUGCGGUACAUUUCAAAUUAUAUAAAUGAUAAAAUAAUAAUCAACAACCAAAAUAUCGUUUCAUAAACUUAUAAAGAGAGAAAUGAUCGAUCAUUGUCACCAAAUCGACUUCGCUGGCUAAACUUUCCUGGAAAAUUAUUAUUAAAGCAAGGGUGAAUAAAUGAUGCUAAACAAAAGAAAAGAUGAACAAGA